UACAGAGGUCCCAAGCGUUGUUCGGAUUCAUUGGGCGUAAAGGGUGCGUAGGCGGCGCGGUAAGUCGGGUGUGAAAUCUCGGGGCUUAACUCCGAAACUGCAUUCGAUACUGCCGUGCUUGAGGACUGGAGAGGAGACUGGAAUUUACGGUGUAGCGGUGAAAUGCGUAGAUAUCUGGAGGAACACCGGUGGCGAAGGCGGCAUCCUGGACCGACACUGACGCUGAGGAGCGAAAGCCAGGGGAGCAAACGGG
rnacentral:rRNA from 1 species